rnacentral:rRNA from 1 species
UACGUAGGGUGCGAGCGUUAAUCGGAAUUACUGGGCGUAAGGCGUGCGCAGGCGGUUGUGCAAGACAGAUGUGAAAUCCCCGGGCUCAACCUGGGAACUGCAUUUGUGACUGCACGGCUGGAGUGCGGCAGAGGGGGAUGGAAUUCCGCGUGUAGCAGUGAAAUGCGUAGAUAUGCGGAGGAACACCGAUGGCGAAGGCAAUCCCCUGGGCCUGCACUGACGCUCAUGCACGAAAGCGUGGGGAGCAAACAGG